CACAUGUUCUAAUAUACGCCUACGAAAUUGUUGAUAUGUCUUGCCCACAUAUCAGUGCUCGAUUACAAACAACCAGUACCCUAUCUGGGAUUUCAUUAAUUGUAGCACAACCAGAAUUGUGUAUGUCAUCACUUGAAGCUGUAACCUCCAAUAUGUGGGCAAGAUAUAUCAACAAUUUCAUAGGCGUAUAUUACAACAUGUC